GCGUAUCGAUCGGCAGCUGCUGGAGCGUCCCGGCUCCUGGCUCUCAGCCGGCCUCUGAAGCUCACGCCGGUUGUGUACCCAGCCAAGCCUCUUGGUACCCGAGGUCCGCGCUGCGGAGCUCUCUCGAUUCCUGGCGUCUCCCUAACCUGAACGAUCGGACACUGACCUGGCGGAGAGAGGAAUACGGGGCCUGAGAUAGCCGUGGCUGAGCGACCCUUAUCGAAGCAAAAAGAACCGUGGCCUGGGCAAUCGCUGGGCCAUGGUUGACCAACUCUUGACCAGCACCUUUGUGGGACCCCUACACCUGUCCCCCAGGGCACCAAGGUUCGGCCAAACAAUCCCCUACACACUGCCUUGAAGUUAGAUGCAAGUUAUUCUGUAACUGGCACUGCAAAAUGGAACUUCAAAUGUUAGAUUUGUUUUCUUGUAGAGAUGGACAAUUUUUCCAAACUUCGUCCUGCUGAACAUGUGACCAACACCCUCUCCUCUCCUCACCCCCGAAAAAGUGACAGAAUAUGCAGAUGCUGACACCAGGAGACGCGGAGCUCAAUUUCCUUUCUACAGGAAGGGGUACAAUGAGCUGAAGAUGGCUGGAAGUGAAAAAGCAACUGUAGAGGGAUCGAACUCGGGUCCUUGCGCAUUCGAGGCAGGCGGCGGAACCAUUGAGCUAAAUCCCUGGCCCAGCACUGAUUCUUUCUGGCAUUGUGGAGAAGGAUCAGAAGGGAUCAAACUCCAGUCCUUGCAUUUGUGCAGCAGGUGCCGAAACCACUGAGCUAAAUCCCCGGCCCAAAGAUGAGUCUUGAAAGGUAAAGAUGAGCCUUGAAAGGCCCGGAUGUAGCGCCCUUUUCCGAGUGCGCAAAGUGCGACUUCAGCCUCGACUCAGGUCGAGUUUGGCAAUCCCACGUCCGCUUUCGCCGGGCUGGAGAUCCAUUUUCCCGCCGAAUUACUAGUUUCUCGGUCACGUAAACGGGAGACUUUGGGAACGUACCGGGCAGCCCAGAAACGCC